AGGUCUUUACCAUAGAAUGUAUAAAAACAGGUCCUUACUGCCACCAGUUGAGUCAAUGAUUCAGGGAAGAGACAGUCUGGGCAGCAGCAACAAGACAACUGUUACAAGUAGAGAUGGGUUUCAAGAACUGACACAACCACAUAUCCUCCAAAUCAUCUCCGCGUGGAUGGCAGCAAGGAUCCAGGAUCAAGAGAUCAUUCUUCA